rnacentral:rRNA from 1 species
GACGAACGCUGGCGGCGUGCCUAAUACAUGCAAGUAGAACGCUGAAGAGAGGAGCUUGCUCUUCUUGGAUGAGUUGCGAACGGGUGAGUAACGCGUAGGUAACCUGCCUGGUAGCGGGGGAUAACUAUUGGAAACGAUAGCUAAUACCGCAUAAAAUGGAUUAUCGCAUGAUAAUCCAUUGAAAGGUGCAAAUGCAUCACUACCAGAUGGACCUGCGUUGUAUUAGCUAGUUGGUGGGGUAACGGCUCACCAAGGCGACGAUACAUAGCCGACCUGAGAGGGUGAUCGGCCACACUGGGACUGAGACACGGCCCAGACUCCUACGGGAGGCAGCAGUAGGGAAUCUUCGGCAAUGGACGGAAGUCUGACCGAGCAACGCCGCGUGAGUGAAGAAGGGUUUCGGAUCGUAAAGCUCUGUUGUAAGAGAAGAACGAGUGCGAGAGUGGAAAGUUCACACUGUGACGGUAUCUUACCAGAAAGGGACGGCUAACUACGUG